AGCCUUGCUGAAUGUAAAUACAUGUUGUUUUUUUUUUGUUUGUUUCACACGUUAAACUAUUGCACAGAAAGAAGAUACACAAUCAUUUUAAUUUAACUACAAAUGAAAUGAGGAGAAGCAGGUAUUUUCUUCGUAUAACAUUUCUUUGAAUCCAUAUCAAAAUGAAAUCAAAGUUGUAGUUCGGUGCUAUCACAACCGAGCAAAACAACAUUCAGAUGCAGGCGAUUAUAAUAUUACAGGAAGGAAUAAUGUAUAGCCACGAUGCUAAACAGAUAUACUUCAGAGAUGCCCUUUUCAGUCCUAACAACAAUUGUAUUGACAAACAAGAGCUGUAAAUUACCACCAAGGACCAGGCCAACCAGUAGUGACACGACAAUAAUGAGAGGGUCUUACGAAAGCAACGUCUACUGCUCCGCAUGUUGAUGUAACGGUUUCCAUUAUUCUGAACUUCUACAGAAUCCACUGCAGAAAAUCAUUUUAAUCAAUUGAUCAUCGUUUAUGAACAAUAGGGUAGACUGAAGCAAAUUAAGUCUGAACAUUACCUUAUUAAGUAUACAAUAUUUUGAAAAUUCCGUACUCCUAGGAAAAUUCUGAAACGUAAAGUCCUGGAGCAAAUGUUCAGUAUUUCAUUAAGUUUGCUAAAUUAUUCGCUGCAGUAAAGUUGGUACUGCUCAGACAGUUUAAAUUUAAUAAUUUGUUCACGAUAAAUUAGGAAAUUAUUUCAUAUUACAAUUACAAAUGUAUCUUAUAUUUUAUCAACCAAUCGAAUGUUUGAUUAUACAAAGUCUGUUCCGUGUCAAAUCAAUACAGGAUGGGUUUUUUUAAUUUCUCUUUUUUAUUUUGUAAAUAAAUAUUUUCAUCGAUUUUACUGAUUAA